AUUGAACGCUGGCGGAAUGCUUUACACAUGCAAGUCGAACGGUAGAGGGGGCAACCCCUCGAGAGUGGCGAACGGGUGAGUAAUAUAUCGGAACGUGCCCAGUCGUGGGGGAUAACGUAGCGAAAGUUACGCUAAUACCGCAUACGAUCUAAGGAUGAAAGCGGGGGAUCGGAAGACCUCGCGCGAUUGGAGCGGCCGAUAUCAGAUUAGGUAGUUGGUGGGGUAAAGGCUAGCCAAGCCAACGAUCUGUAGCUGGUCUUAGAGGACGACCAGCCACACGGGAACUGAGACACAGUCCAGACUCCUACGGGUGGCAGCAGUGGGAAAUUUUGGACAAUGGACGCAAGUCUGAUCCAGCCAUUCCGCGUGCAGGAUGAAGGCCCUCGGGUUGUAAACUGCUUUUGUACGGAACGAAAAGGUCUCUCUUAAUACGGGGGACUCAUGACGGUACCGUAAGAAUAAGCACCGGCUAACUACGUGCCAGCCGCCGCCGUAA
rnacentral:rRNA from 1 species